rnacentral:tRNA from 1 species
UAGCUCGGUUGGUAGAGCAUGGUGUUUGCAACGCCAGGGUUGUGGGUUUGAUUCCCAC